GAUGAACGCUGGCGGCGUGCCUAAUACAUGCAAGUCGAGCGAACAGACGAGAAGCUUGCUUCUCUGACGUUAGCGGCGGACGGGUGAGUAACACGUGGAUAACCUACCUAUAAGACUGGGAUAACUUCGGGAAACCGGAGCUAAUACCGGAUGAUAUUUUGAACCGCAUGGUUCAAUAGUGAAAGACGGUCUUGCUGUCACUUAUAGAUGGAUCCGCGCUGCAUUAGCUAGUUGGUAAGGUAACGGCUUACCAAGGCAACGAUGCAUAGCCGACCUGAGAGGGUGAUCGGCCACACUGGAACUGAGACACGGUCCAGACUCCUACGGGAGGCAGCAGUAGGGAAUCUUCCGCAAUGGGCGAAAGCCUGACGGAGCAACGCCGCGUGAGUGAUGAAGGUCUUCGGAUCGUAAAACUCUGUUAUUAGGGAAGAACAUAUGUGUAAGUAACUGUGCACAUCUUGACGGUACCUAAUCAGAAAGCCACGGCUAACUACGUG
rnacentral:rRNA from 1 species